rnacentral:rRNA from 1 species
UACAGAGGGUGCGAGCGUUGUUCGGAAUUAUUGGGCGUAAAGAGCUCGUAGGCGGUUUGUCGCGUCUGCUGUGAAAACCCGAGGCUCAACCUCGGGCCUGCAGUGGGUACGGGCAGACUAGAGUGCGGUAGGGGAGAUUGGAAUUCCUGGUGUAGCGGUGGAAUGCGCAGAUAUCAGGAGGAACACCGGUGGCGAAGGCGGGUCUCUGGGUAGUAACUGGACGCUGAGGAACGAAAGCGUGGGUAGCGAACAGG